UCUUGUUAAAUGCUGGGGCCAAGAACUCUGAUCACGCUGGCAGAGAAGGGCACUGGCAAAGAAUCCAGACGUUUGAAGAGGCCACGUGCACAGACACAGGUAGCAGCGCAGACUCAGAUUCAUCUCCAGAAUAUACCUUCUGGGAGGAGCCCUGCCUCUGUUUGGGAGAUGCCUGGGGGCAUCCAUGGAUCAGAUCUACUGGGGUCAUGGUGUCUGGCUGGGAUGGCCUUGGAAAGACAUUUUAGAGUCUCAUGUUGAAAGGGGGAGGGCAUUGUGGAACCUUCUGGGCAGUUUUCUCAGUCUGCUGCCUUAGAUUUGGGUAUCAUGUUCUGAAAUGACUGGGAUGGUCAGGAAAGCUCUCUGAGGAGGUGACAUUCUGGCUGAGGCCUGGAUGGAGAUGUGUGAGGAGAAUAUUUCAGACAAAGGGGCCUGGGGUCCUGUCAGAGUUCAGGCUCUGGGAGAAGCUGCCAUGGGCAUUUUGUGGCCUCUGAUGAUCGCUGUGAGUGCCCUUCCUACAUGCACACGUCCCUCAUGCUGCCUUGCACAGUUCCAAGGUGGAAACCAGACUCCAUUUCCCAGCAUCCCUUGCAGUCAGGCCCUUCAUGUGACUUGAAUCCCAUCAUGUGACCCAGGCUCAACCAAUCAGAAGUCUCCUUUGAGCCUCUGCUCAGGAAGAGGGCGUAAAGAAGAUGGCACUGGGCGGAUCCCUGUGUGGGCGCUGGGCCUGGAAGGGCCUCGUGGAUUCAGGGGGAGUGGGAAGGAAGUUCAUGUCCCCUCCUGGGGCCAUCAGGGCGAGCUGUGGGGUCUGGUUGAAUGGCUUUUUUCAGAGCAGCCCCUGGUGUGGGCUGGACACUCGUAGCCACUGAGUCUCUGCCCCCACAAAGGGUUGGGACCUUCCUGAUGUCCACACUGGCCCCAAGGAAUCUGCUUCCCCUGGGUCUUGUUGGAAAUGCACCAUCUCAUACCCCAGCCCAGACCUUCGAGUCGGGGCCUGCAUUUUAUCAAGACCCCUGGGGAUUUGUGUGUAAUGGGAGUUGGAGAAGUGUGAUCUGUAACGAGCUCCUCCUGCUUAAUGCAGCUGGAGGGUGGGCUUCUGUGGUUACAGCAAAGAACCAGGUGGUACAGAAGCCAUGGGAGGGAUGUGACCAGGGAGUGAGAUGAUCGGGUUCAUCCUUUAUCCAUCCUGCUGCUGGACUACAGAGGGGCGAGACAGGAGGCCAGCGUAUAUCCAGAGAAUACACAUCUCUGACCAGACAAACACGCAAAACCUGUGAAAAGACCCAGACACACACACCUGCAGGUGAAACUGAGACACACACGCACACACACAAACCCAGAAGCAACCAUCUACACAGGCGCACAGAACCACAAAGACACAAGCAGGGCUGGGGCGACUUCACCCCAGAACAUCUCCUUUCUUGUUUCCCUGGAUCUGCAGGAAGGAGCCGAGCCUGCCUGACUUUGGUCCCUCGCUCACCACUAGACCUUGAAAGUGAAAUUGGAUAUCCACAAGCCCGUGACCUUGGGGUUCUGGAGAAUGGGUCCUUAAUGAGUGUCCCGGCUCCAGGCCAGAUGAAAUGCAGGCGUUCCAGCCUCUGUCCGGGUGGGUCCCUCAGCCCACUUGCUGAGGGCCGCAGAUGGAUGUGGAUCAAAUGCUAAUGGCUUUUCAGCUGGGGCUGCUAGAGCCCAGUGCAGGACCAUGGGCAGUGUGUUUGCUGGGGGCACUUUCGCCCUCCACAGGGCAUCUCAGGCUACCUGCUGAGACCCAGGUUGGCACAAUGUGAUAUGUGCCAUUUUUGCAGCAGCAGGGGACUGGGCACAGAGACAGGGGACAUCAGCCUGUGCCCAUGAUCCAGCUGUAAACACAGAUUUAUACCCAGGCCAAAUCUAUCCACGAAUCCAUUUCAAAAGGAAUACAAUCGCAUUAGAGGGAUAGUAAUUGUGUAAUAUAUUGCACUUGAAAUUAGAAUUCUACAAAAUUUCAUUAUUUAUGUCUAGACUAAAAGAGAUUGAGUUUUGAUUAUUUAACUACAUUUCCUGUUGCUCUGAUGAGGAAUGAUGCUUCUCUAAGGGCCGACUGUCUCAUUCCUGAAGAGUGGUGUUUUCAGAGCAGCACCAUGAGGGGCUUCUGGAAGUCUCUGGGACUCAGGGUUGGUCUGGAGGGACAUGGGGGCUGCCCUGGGCCUGCUUGUCCUCAGGCCGCUUCAUCCCCCUUCCCACGAGUCUCUGGGCUCACCCCCCUGGGUCACAUUUCCCAGACUCUGACAGGGCUGGUCUCUGCCUGAAGUAGCAGUUGGGGGCUGUGCUGGAGAGUGGGGGCAGGAGGACCCAGGGUGUCCCCCUCUGCCUGGGCCGCAUCUGCAGUGCCCAUGUCUCCACCAUGGCGCCAGUCCCCUCCGUGGCCCUGAGCUGAAGACUGAACCCUCUCUCUUGGCUCCUCUACCCCAGGGUCAAUGACAGGUUGUCACUGAUCUUUGCCUCACAGGCCCUUGUUUGCCUUCUCAGCUUUCCAUGCAGAUCCCUGUAUUGUCUCUUCCUUGCUGAAGCACCUGCAGUGACCCCCCUUUCCUUGGUUGGAGCCUGGUGCAGAUGUGCCCCUCAACAGGACACUCAGGUCUCUACCCCAGCCCAUUUCAUCCUCCUCUCAUCCUCACACACCCUCUGCCCUGGUACCCAGACUUCCUUCUGUCCUCCACACCAGCCCCAGCGCCUUUGCUCUUGCUGCCUGCUUGUCUGGAGUCCCCACUAUAAACUCAGCCCCUCUGUGAAGUCCCUGCUUAUGUGUGACCUGUGGAAGUCACCAUUCCUAAGCCUCCCACCUGCAGAUGGGAUCUGCUGGGACAUUCCAGAGCCCUUGUCUGUCCCCUUGUGGGUGCUUAGAAAGAGUGCAUCCUGGGGUGGUCACCCACAUUCGCUUUCAUUCUUUAUGUAUCAAUUAUUCACCAAGUAUUCACUGAUGCUGACUAUGUGUUAACCACUGUGAUACAGCAGGAUAAUCAGGACUCUUUCCAUUGUAGGUGACCCAAAGCCAAACUCAAAUUGGCUUGAGUAAGAAGGAAAGUUUUCUGACAUAUAACUAUUCAUAGCAAUGUCAACUUCAGGCAUGGCUGGAUCUAGCAGAUCAACUGAGGUCUCCGAAGGCUAUCUCUUUAUACCUCUUGGCUCUGCUUUUCUUCACGUUGGUGAUGGAGCUACAACAAUGUAAUGAGAAUUUAUUUUCAGUUCAAAGUGGCAGAAAUCUCUAGAAUUGGCUUAAACACCUAAUCGCUUAUUGAUGUAAAAAACUACCCGGGGUAGUUUAUCUUCACGCAUGACUGGAUCCAGGAGAUCUCCAGAAUUCUCUCUUGUUGCCUCUUACUGUGCUUCCUCUGUAUUAGCUGCAUCCUCAGACAGAAUCCCUCACUGUGGUGUCAAAAUAUCUUCUAGAGGUCGUGAGUCUUGCAUCUCAGCCCCUCAGGAACCCUGCUGGAAGGGGAAGUUCUUGAUUUCUCCAGUCCUUUAAAACAAGAGUUGCAAAAUUUAGUUUCCUUGUCUCCUGAAGGUCUGGUUUGGGUCACACAUCCAUCUGUGUUCCUAUAAUUGUGGCCAGGGGAAUGCAGGGGUUUGAUUGUCUGUGCCUGACACACAGGCCCAAUGAACCAACCGUAAGUUUCCAGCAAGUGAAGUAUAUAUGUGUAAGCAAUGAAAGAUUACAUAUAUUCUAUUCAAAGUUUGAUUUUGAGAAAAAUUGUAGAUUCAUGUGCUGUUGUAAGAAGUAAUACAGGACCUUUUGCAACUGUUACCUAGUUUCCCCAGUGGUAACUUCUGGCAAAAUGAUGGCCCAAUAUCACAGCCAGAGCAUCCCCAGUGAGGUCUUGUCAGGUGGAAAAAUGGUGGCCAUCCCAGCCAAAAUGUCAGAGAUAGUUCUUGGUUGUGUUGUCAGAUGCGCCAUAGGCUUCUGUGCAUGCAUCAGUGUGUUUGCAAGAACACCGCACAGGGUAGCAGAUGUUCGCCACAGAGGCCACAGGCUACAGGGGUUUCGUGACGUGUGGUUAGACUGGAGGAGGCACUCAGAGCCUCGUGAGUUAUGCGUUAGCUUUAGAGGAGAAAAUGUUCUUACACUGGUGUGCAACUAGAGAUUAGUUUCCCAAGAUGGUGGACUAGGAAUGUGUUCAUGCAUCUCUGUGUAGUUAAAAUUGAUUUUUAAAAAUAGAAAAAAAAAAACGUAGUGUCCAUUUCCCUGAA